rnacentral:rRNA from 1 species
UGGGGAAUAUUGGACAAUGGGGGCAACCCUGAUCCAGCCAUGCCGCGUGAGUGAUGAAGGCCUUCGGGUUGUAAAGCUCUUUUGGCGGGGACGAUGAUGACGGUACCCGCAGAAUAAGCCCCGGCUAACUUCGUGCCAGCAGCCGCGGUAAGACGAAGGGGGCUAGCGUUGUUCGGAAUUACUGGGCGUAAAGCGAGUGUAGGCGGUUGCCGUAGUCAGGUGUGAAAGCCUUGAGCUCAACUCAAGAAAUGCACUUGAUACUGGGUGACUAGAGGACCGGAGAGGAUAGUGGAAUUCCCAGUGUAGUGGUGAAAUACGUAGAGAUUGGGAAGAACACCAGUGGCGAAGGCGGCUAUCUGGACGGUUACUGACGCUAAGACUCGAAAGCGUGGGGAGCAAACAGGAUUAGAUACCCUGGUAGUCCACGCCGUAAACGAUGGGUGCUAGACGUUGGCGAGCUUGCUCGUCAGUGUCGCAGCUAACGCGUUAAGCACCCCGCCUGGGGAGUACGGCCGCAAGGUUGAAACUUAAAAGGAAUUGACGGGGGUCAUAGCUGUUU